rnacentral:rRNA from 1 species
UACGAAGGGUGCAAGCGUUAAUCGGAAUUACUGGGCGUAAAGGGUGCGUAGGCGGUUGUUUAAGUCUGUCGUGAAAUCCCCGGGCUCAACCUGGGAAUGGCGAUGGAUACUGGGCAGCUAGAGUGUGUCAGAGGAUGGUGGAAUUCCCGGUGUAGCGGUGAAAUGCGUAGAGAUCGGGAGGAACAUAGUGGCGAAGGCGGCCAUCUGGGACAACACUGACGCUGAAGCACGAAAGCGUGGGGAGCAAACAGG